GAAGGAUGAAAACAUAUUAUUAUAGCUAAAACCCCAUGAAGAAACAAAAAUGGAAAGGAAGGGAAGGCAGAGAGAGAAAGGAGGUGGAAAGAUAUAUGUGUAAAAAAUCCACAGAUCUUUCCAUAUAAGUUAAACCCAGAGUCUACAGGAAUCAUCUCUAGAAUUCCAAAGCUCCACUUUGCUAAUUUACGCUAAGGAAAACAGGCUCUAAGACAAUCAAUGACAAACGAAAAAUACCCAAAAUAAUCUAACUAGUUCUUUUUGCUCAUAUAUGAUUAAGGUACAAACGGAUAUAAUGAGAUAUCUAAAAAGACCGUUUGAAAUUAUUUUUUAAAAAUUAUGC
rnacentral:misc_RNA from 1 species